rnacentral:tRNA from 1 species
CGGGGCGUAGCGCAGUUCGGCCAGCGCGCCUGCUUUGGGAGCAGGAUGUCGGAGGUUCAAAUCCUCUCGCCCCGACCA